GUGUCAGCCGCCGCGGUAAUACGUAGGGUGCGAGCGUUGUCCGGAAUUAUUGGGCGUAAAGAGCUUGUAGGCGGUUUGUCGCGUCUGCUGUGAAAAUCCGAGGCUCAACCUCGGACUUGCAGUGGGUACGGGCAGACUAGAGUGUGGUAGGGGAGACCGGAAUUUCUGGUGUAGCGGUGAAAUGCGCAGAUAUCAGGAGGAACACCGAUGGCGAAGGCAGGUCUCUGGGCCACUACUGACGCCGAGAAGCGAAAGCAUGGGGAGCGAACAGGAUUAGAUACCCCGGUAGUCC
rnacentral:rRNA from 1 species